AAAUUGAAGAGUUUGAUCAUGGCUCAGAUUGAACGCUGGCGGCAGGCCUAACACAUGCAAGUCGAACGGUAACAGGAAGCAGCUUGCUUCUUUGCUGACGAGUGGCGGACGGGUGAGUAAUGUCUGGGAAACUGCCUGAUGGAGGGGGAUAACUACUGGAAACGGUAGCUAAUACCGCAUAACGUCGCAAGACCAAAGAGGGGGACCUUCGGGCCUCUUGCCAUCGGAUGUGCCCAGAUGGGAUUAGCUUGUUGGUGGGGUAACGGCUCACC
rnacentral:rRNA from 1 species